rnacentral:rRNA from 1 species
ACAUGUGGGAAUCUGCCUUGUGGUUCAGGACAACAUUGGGAAACCGAUGCUAAUACUGGAUAAGCCCUUACGGGGAAAGUUUUAAUGCCAUAAGAUGAGCCCGCAUUUGAUUAGUUAGUUGGUGAGGUAAUGGCUCACCAAGACAAUGAUCAAUAGCUGAUCUGAGAGGAUGAUCAGCCACACUGGGACUGAGACACGGCCCAGACUCCUACGGGAGGCAGCAGUGGGGAAUCUUGCACAAUGGAGGAAACUCUGAUGCAGCGAUGCCGCGUGAGUGAAGAAGGCCUUUGGGUUGUAAAGCUCUUUUGUAGGGGAAGAUAAUGACUGUACCCUAAGAAUAAGGUCCGGCUAACUUCGUGCCAGCAGCCGCGGUAAUACGAAGGGACCUAGCGUAGUUCGGAAUUACUGGGCGUAAAGCGCGCGUAGGCCGUUGAGUUAGUUAAUUGUGAAAUCCCAAAGCUUAACUUUGGAACUGCAAUUAAAACUGCUCGACUAGAGUUUGAUAGAGGAAAGCGGAAUACAUAGUGUAGAGGUGAAAUUCGUAGAUAUUAUGUAGAACACCAGUUGCGAAGGCGGCUUCCUGGGUCAAUACUGACGCUGAGGUGCGAAAGUAUGGGUAGCAAAGAGGAUUAGAUACCCUCGUAGUCCAUACCUUAAACGAUGAUUGCUAGAUGUUGGAAAUUUUUUUCAGUAUCGCAGCUAACGCGUUA